rnacentral:rRNA from 1 species
AUUGAACGCUGGCGGCAGGCCUAACACAUGCAAGUCGAGCGAGCGGCGGCCGGGUGAGUAAUGUCUGGGAAACUGCCUGAUGGAGUGGGAUAACUACUGGAAACGGUAGCUAAUACCGCAUACCAUCAGAUGUGCCCCGAUGGGAUUAGCUAGUAGGUGGGGUAACGGCUCACCUAGGCGACUAUCCCUCGCUGGUCUGAGAGGCUGACCAGCCAAACUGGAACUGAGACACGGGCCAGACUCCUACGGGAGGCAGCAGUGGGGAAUAUUGCACAAUGGGCGCAAGCCGUAUGCAGCCAUGCCGCGUGUGUGAAGAAGGCCUUCGGGUUGUAAAGCACUUUCAGCGGGGAGGCGUUACCCGCAGAAGAAGCACCGGCUAACUCCGUGCCAGCAGCCGCGGUAAUUC